GGGUGGCUGGUGUAGUUGGUUAUCACGCCCGCUUAGCAUCGAAACAUGUCGGUUGUCUUGCGCUGCGGGAGGGGAGGAGUUCAAUUCUCCUGUUGUCCA